rnacentral:rRNA from 1 species
UACGUAGGAUGCAAGCGUUGUCCGGAUUUACUGGGCGUAAAGGGCGCGCAGGCGGCUCAUUUUGUCAGGCGUGAAAGCCCCGGGCUUAACCUGGGAACUGCGUUUGAUACGGAUGGGCUAGAGUUCGGGAGAGGAGAGUGGAAUUCCCAGUGUAGAGGUGAAAUUCGUAGAUAUUGGGAAGAACACCGGUGGCGAAGGCGGCUCUCUGGACCGAUACUGACGCUGAGGCGCGAAAGCGUGGGGAGCAAACAGG